rnacentral:rRNA from 1 species
UACGUAGGGUCCGAGCGUUGUCCGGAAUUACUGGGCGUAAAGAGCUCGUAGGUGGUUUGUCGCGUUGUCCGUGAAAACUCACAACUCAAUUGUGGGCGUGCGGGCGAUACGGGCAGACUGGAGUACUGCAGGGGAGACUGGAAUUCCUGGUGUAGCGGUGGAAUGCGCAGAUAUCAGGAAGAACACCUAUGGCGAAGGCAGCUCUCUGGGACGGUACUGACGCUGAGACGCGAAAGCGUGGGGAGCGAACAGG